rnacentral:rRNA from 1 species
ACCAUGCAAGUCGACGAUGAACCGCUUUCGGGCGGGGAUUAGUGGCGAACGGGUGAGUAACACGUGGGCAAUCUGCCCUGCACUCUGGGACAAGCCCUGGAAACGGGGUCUAAUACCGGAUAUGACUGUCCAUCGCAUGGUGGAUGGUGUAAAGCUCCGGCGGUGCAGGAUGAGCCCGCGGCCUAUCAGCUUGUUGGUGAGGUAGUGGCUCACCAAGGCGACGACGGGUAGCCGGCCUGAGAGGGCGACCGGCCACACUGGGACUGAGACACGGCCCAGACUCCUACGGGAGGCAGCAGUGGGGAAUAUUGCACAAUGGGCGAAAGCCUGAUGCAGCGACGCCGCGUGAGGGAUGACGGCCUUCGGGUUGUAAACCUCUUUCAGCAGGGAAGAAGCGAAAGUGACGGUACCUGCAGAAGAAGCGCCGGCUAACUACGUGCCAGCAGCCGCGGUAAUACGUAGGGCGCAAGCGUUGUCCGGAAUUAUUGGGCGUAAAGAGCUCGUAGGCGGCUUGUCACGUCGGUUGUGAAAGCCCGGGGCUUAACCCCGGGUCUGCAGUCGAUACGGGCAGGCUAGAGUUCGGUAGGGGAGAUCGGAAUUCCUGGUGUAGCGGUGAAAUGCGCAGAUAUCAGGAGGAACACCGGUGGCGAAGGCGGAUCUCUGGGCCGAUACUGACGCUGA